rnacentral:rRNA from 1 species
GACUAGUCAUCAGUCUAGCAUUGGAUUGAGAACAAUGUACAACUCUUAUCGAUAAGCCAUUGGAGGGCAAGUCUGGUGCCAGCAGCCGCGGUAAUUCCAGCUCCAAUAGCGUAUAUUAACGUUGUUGCAGUUAAAAAGCUCGUAGUUGAAGUGUGGGUGAUCGCUGUUGUGAGACUUCGGUCUCUCGACAGUAAGUCACCCCCUUCCAGUAUCCAGUAGUGGGUAUUCAGUUACUUACUAUUGUGUGUUGGUCCUUUACUGUGAGAAAAUUAGAGUGUUCAAAGCAGGCGUUUGCUUGAAUAGAUUAGCAUGGAAUAAUAAUUGAAGGCUUUCGUGUUCGAUUUGAUUGGUUUGUUCAUGGAAGCAAGGUUAAAAGGAACAGUUGGGGGUAUUCAUAUUCACUAGUUAGAGGUGAGAUUCUCGGAUUUAUGGAAGAUGAACAGUGGCGAAAAGCAA